UUAAGCGACUAAGCGUACACGGUGGAUGCCCUGGCAGUCAGAGGCGAUGAAGGACGUGCUAAUCUGCGAAAAGCGUCGGUAAGGUGAUAUGAACCGUUAUAACCGGCGAUGUCCGAAUGGGGAAACCCAGUGCAAUUCGUUGCACUAUCGUUAACUGAAUACAUAGGUUAACGAGGCGAACCGGGGGAACUGAAACAUCUAAGUACCCCGAGGAAAAGAAAUCAACCGAGAUUCCCCCAGUAGCGGCGAGCGAACGGGGAGCAGCCCAGAGUCUGAAUCAGCUUGUGUGUUAGUGGAACGGUCUGGAAAGUCCGACGGUACAGGGUGAUAGUCCCGUACACCAAAAUGCACAGGUUGUGAACUCGAAGAGUAGGGCGGGACACGUGGUAUCCUGUCUGAAUAUGGGGGGACCAUCCUCCAAGGCUAAAUACUCCUGACUGACCGAUAGUGAACCAGUACCGUGAGGGAAAGGCGAAAAGAACCCCGGCGAGGGGAGUGAAAAAGAACCUGAAACCGUGUACGUACAAGCAGUGGGAGCACCUUNNNGGUGUGACUGCGUACCUUUUGUAUAAUGGGUCAGCGACUUAUAUUCUGUAGCAAGGUUAACCGUAUAGGGGAGCCGCAGGGAAACCGAGUCUUAACUGGGCGUUAAGUUGCAGGGUAUAGACCCGAAACCCGGUGAUCUAGCCAUGGGCAGGUUGAAGGUUGGGUAACACUAACUGGAGGACCGAACCGACUAAUGUUGAAAAAUUAGCGGAUGACUUGUGGCUGGGGGUGAAAGGCCAAUCAAACCGGGAGAUAGCUGGUUCUCCCCGAAAGCUAUUUAGGUAGCGCCUCGUGAACUCAUCUUCGGGGGUAGAGCACUGUUUCGGCUAGGGGGUCAUCCCGACUUACCAACCCGAUGCAAACUACGAAUACCGAAGAAUGUUAUCACGGGAGACACACGGCGGGUGCUAACGUCCGUCGUGAAGAGGGAAACAACCCAGACCGCCAGCUAAGGUCCCAAAGUCAUGGUUAAGUGGGAAACGAUGUGGGAAGGCACAGACAGCCAGGAUGUUGGCUUAGAAGCAGCCAUCAUUUAAAGAAAGCGUAAUAGCUCACUGGUCGAGUCGGCCUGCGCGGAAGAUGUAACGGGGCUAAACCAUGCACCGAAGCUGCGGCAGCGACACUAUGUGUUGUUGGGUAGGGGAGCGUUCUGUAAGCCUGCGAAGGUGACCUGUGAGGGUUGCUGGAGGUAUCAGAAGUGCGAAUGCUGACAUAAGUAACGAUAAAGCGGGUGAAAAGCCCGCUCGCCGGAAGACCAAGGGUUCCUGUCCAACGUUAAUCGGGGCAGGGUGAGUCGACCCCUAAGGCGAGGCCGAAAGGCGUAGUCGAUGGGAAACAGGUUAAUAUUCCUGUACUUGGUGUUACUGCGAAGGGGGGACGGAGAAGGCUAUGUUAGCCGGGCGACGGUUGUCCCGGUUUAAGCAUGUAGGCUGGUUAUCCAGGCAAAUCCGGAUAAUCAAGGCUGAGGUGUGAUGACGAGGCACUACGGUGCUGAAGUAACAAAUGCCCUGCUUCCAGGAAAAGCCUCUAAGCAUCAGGUAACAUCAAAUCGUACCCCAAACCGACACAGGUGGUCAGGUAGAGAAUACCAAGGCGCUUGAGAGAACUCGGGUGAAGGAACUAGGCAAAAUGGUGCCGUAACUUCGGGAGAAGGCACGCUGGUGUGUAGGUGAAGUCCCUGCGGAUGGAGCUGAGACCAGUCGAAGAUACCAGCUGGCUGCAACUGUUUAUUAAAAACACAGCACUGUGCAAACACGAAAGUGGACGUAUACGGUGUGACGCCUGCCCGGUGCCGGAAGGUUAAUUGAUGGGGUUAUCCGUAAGGAGAAGCUCUUGAUCGAAGCCCCGGUAAACGGCGGCCGUAACUAUAACGGUCCUAAGGUAGCGAAAUUCCUUGUCGGGUAAGUUCCG
rnacentral:rRNA from 1 species